AGACCAACCUCCUCACCCUGGACAGCCUGCUGGCCAUGGACCACUCGGAGCUGGCCCAAGGGGCCCGGAGGCACUACGAGAGGAAGAGGUCGGUGCCCAGCGUGCUGCUCGUCAGACUGGUCCAGGAGCGCCUGCUCGAGGACGACUGCAUCAGCCGGGGCUGGAUCCUGGAUGGCAUCCCCGAGACGCGGGAGCAGGCGAUGAUGAUCCAGACCCUCGGGAUCACCCCCAGGCAUGUCAGUGAGUAGGCGCCAGGCCCCCCAGCUGCCGGCCCCCCAGGGAGACCU